GGAUGAAGGAGCUUGCUCCUGGAUUCAGCGGCGGACGGGUGAGUAAUGCCUAGGAAUCUGCCUGGUAGUGGGGGACAACGUUUCGAAAGGAACGCUAAUACCGCAUACGUCCUACGGGAGAAAGCAGGGGACCUUCGGGCCUUGCGCUAUCAGAUGAGCCUAGGUCGGAUUAGCUAGUUGGUGAGGUAAUGGCUCACCAAGGCGACGAUCCGUAACUGGUCUGAGAGGAUGAUCAGUCACACUGGAACUGAGACACGGUCCAGACUCCUACGGGAGGCAGCAGUGGGGAAUAUUGGACAAUGGGCGAAAGCCUGAUCCAGCCAUGCCGCGUGUGUGAAGAAGGUCUUCGGAUUGUAAAGCACUUUAAGUUGGGAGGAAGGGCAGUAAAUUAAUACUUUGCUGUUUUGACGUUACCGACAGAAUAAGCACCGGCUAACUCUGUGCCAGCAGCCGCGGUAAUACAGAGGGUGCAAGCGUUAAUCGGGAAUUACUCGGACUAAAGCGCGCGUAGGUGGUUUGUAAG
rnacentral:rRNA from 1 species